UUAUACUGCUGAUCCUAAAAUAUGAUUUGAUUAUAAUGGUAAACGACAAAAUGUCAUUCAAGUACAUGUUACAUACAAUUUUAAAUUACACUUUAUAGUACUAGUAUUUCAUAUUGAGAUUUUUUAUAGUAAAUUAAAUAGAAAAGAAAAUGUUUCAAUUGAUUUACAUAAAAUAUUUACUUUUUAAUAAUUUGAGUAAUUGUUUUUUGUGUAUAACUUUGUGACAAAAUUCAAAUUUGAAAUAAGUUUACUUACAUGUAAAUUGUAAUAUUUACUGGUAAACGUCUGAUCAUUACGGUCGUACCACAGAAUAGAAACAAGUUAAAUCCACCCAGUAUUGCCUAUUUGCCUCACAACAAAACCAUUUUUAUUUCCCGUUUUAUGCUAACGGAAUUGUAAUGGUUUGUUAAACUGGUAAAUAGGAAAGUCGAUAUUUUUUUUUAUAUUUUACUGUUAUUAUUUUUUAAAUUAUUUUAUUACUUACUAGCUGCGUUAUCUGACUUCGCUCGGGUUGCAAUUAAUCUAUCGUCUUCCGUGUUGAUUCAGUUGAUAUAUAUAUAUAAUACAAAUACAACUGCAUAAAUUGAUUUUAUGAUUUUUGACAUCACAGUUCUAAACAUAUUUUUGAAGUAAAGACAAAAUACUGAAGGCAGAUGCAACAAAUGCUUAAAAGCCGACGUAAAUGAAAUGUUAUUAAAAGAUUAUCAAUAGUCUUUAAAUGGUUAAUAUAAUUUUUUUUUAUUUUACACAAUAAUAUAUACAAUCUGUACAAAUUAUGCACAAUUAGCAUAAUUGAUAAGAGUUACAAUAAUAUAUUAGUACGUGAGUAAGAAGCCACCCACUAGUGGCACUUUACUGGGAAAAACCUAACCUAACAAAUAUAUUUGUAAAAAAUUGUAUAAUAUUCCAUAUUUCUACUAAUUUUAAUAAUACUUACUAACAAAAGAUAUUCAAUUUUCGUGAGCCAAGACUAAAUUCAAUGGUGACCCGCCUUAUAAGAGACACCUUAUAUAAACACACCUCCCGAGUUUCAAAAUAAUCUAUUGAUAUAACUUAUAUUGAAAACAGACCAUUAGUUUUUAGCUCACUGUGACCAAACCAACAAAUAAACACGUUUUUUUAUAUUAUAAUAGAUUAUGAUUUUAUGAAUUUUGGGCUGAAAUGUUUAAAUGCAAAAAGAUUAUUCAUAAAUACAAAGGUGCAUAGUUCAGCGUUAAGAUGAAACUAAUCGUAUGAACUUUAUCAAUGAUUGGUAAAAUUGGUUAAUCUCUAUAAUAUUCAGUUUAAAAUUAUGAUUGAAUUCUUCAAACUCAUUUAAAAACAAUAUAUAUACCUAUAUGUGUUUUACACAGGCAGUAUUAAAAUGACUGCCUUAAAAUUCAGUAAUAUAUACUUUUUGCUAACGAAAAGACAAUUAUUUAGUUCUAAACCAAUUUUAUUUGUAUGGCAUUUAAAAAUAAAAACCGGGGAAGUCGCUCUGCUGUGUUAGCAGUGAAACAAGUUAACACCAGCGUUUACGUAACGUAUUAGUUCGAUACCCGGCGACUAAUAUAAUAUUAAACUAUUUUAUGAAAAUAACGUGAUUAAAAAUAAUAUAUUAUUAUGACGCAAUUUGAAUUAAAUCCUAUACAAUAACGAAAUAAAAAAAUCAGUAAUCCUUGUUAAGUGUAACCACAUACUACUCGCGUGGAUUUAUGUAUCUGUAAAUACACUUACAGAACACACUCUUACUCGCAUAUAUACAGAGAGACGAAUUGCGUCGUUUAACUGUGUAAACUAUUCGUAUAUGGGAAAACGGUGCGGUUAAUUAAAUGUUUUUCGAGAAACAUAGAUUUGUAUUGUAGAUUUUCGUUGGUUUUAUUGUCGAAUGGCUAAUAUAUUUUAUUUAAAUAUAAAAUUUAUAUAUUUGCGUCAAAAGUAUAUUGACAAACACUAAAUUGUAGGUUAAGUAUACUAAAUAGGUAAUCUAUACAAACUACAACAUUAUAGGUACCUAGGUUUUAGUAUGGGAAACGAUUACUUAUAAACGUUAUAUUAUAAUAUGAUGAUUGAUGGUGUAUACUAUUGAUUAUUUAAUAAACAACAAUAAUUAAAGUAUUCAACUAUCUUCUUAUAUUAAAACGUCAAUAUUUCUCAGUUAUUCUAGAUAUCUAUAGGAUUCAAAUGUCCUAUUAACACUUUCAAUAUUGUGACAAAAUAGUGAACUGAAAAAAUAAUUAUUCAUUUCCAGUUUAAAUGUAAACAUAUAUUUUCAAAAUGCCUCUUUUUCAGAUAAACAAGAAACUUUUACCGAUAAAACUUCAUUUUUUUUUUAUAAUGGCCGGUGCAGCUCCUAUACUUCCAUUCUUAUCGACAAUUUCGAAGCAAAGGGGCUAUUCACCGGUCAUUGUUGGUUUAAUCUUCACAAUUCUUCCACUUCUGGGCUUAUUGGUACGACCACUUAUUGGUGCAAUCACAGACAAAUACAAAUGCCGCAAGUCUGUUUUCAUUUUGACUAUAGCAAUCAGGUGUCUAAUUAUAACUAUGCUAAUGUUCAUGCCGGGUUCGGCCGUCAAAAUAGAAAUGGAUGACGCGGAUGUGAUCAAGUCACCAAUAUUUUGGUUAUUUUUUUGCACAGUUACUUUAUACAAAAUAGAUUGUAAUAUAACAACUGUUUUGGAAGACACGAUAUGCAUUGAUAUAUUAGGUGAAAACAAAACUAAAUACGGCCAUCAGAGGAUGUGGGGCGCAAUCGGUUAUGGCACAGUGUCAAUUGUAUCUGGUGUGUGUGUAGACUGGCUCAGUAAAGGACUAGACUACAAAAACUAUACACCUGGUUUCAUUAUUUCAUUGAUAUGUAGUAUUAUAGAUACAUACGUGGUAUCAAAUAUGCCUUAUGUCCAAAACCGGGAAAUUAAAACUAGAUCAUACGAUAUAAAAAUAGUAUUGACUAAGACAAGAGUACUAUCAUUUCUUUUAUGGGUUAUGGCAUAUGGAAUACUAUUACCAUUUAUAUGGCAUUAUUUAUUUUGGUAUAUGGAAGACAUUUCUAACAUUUACCACCCCGAAACAAAACCGUACAUAAAGACCAUCCAAGGAUUGUCGUUGACCAUUCAAUGUUUCGGUGGAGAAGUUCCAUUUUUCUUCCUGUCCAAUUUUAUCCUCAAACGUGUGGGUCACAUGAACGUGUUCUCUUUGAUGUUCUUUGCAUUCGCUGUCAGAUUCUACCUGUAUUCAAUAAUUACGAAUCCCGUUUGUGUAUUACCAGUCGAACUACUCAAUGGUAUAACGUACGCAUUAGCGUACUCCGCUGCCAUUUCGUACGCAGCAGAACUAGCUCCCGUGGGUGCCGAGGGAACUCUUCAAGGCAUCGUUGGAACAACUCUGGAGGAAAUAGGGACGCCCAUUGGCAGUUCUGUCGGUGGUUAUCUGUUUAAUCAUUUCGGAAGUAUUACUUCGUACAAAUUUAUAAGUGGUUUUGCUUUAGCAGUAUGUAUUUGUCAAAUGAUGGUUGAACGAUUGAUAAAUCGUUUUUCUAAAAAUGACACUGUCAAAGAAGAAGUGUCUUGUUCUAGUUAUUUUACCGUUGAUCCUAAAUUGAGUGUUAAUGAUAAUCUUAUAUAAUACGAUUUUUUUUUUCAAUCCGUAUAGAUUGGUUUAUUAUGAAAAAUUCUUCUUCUAACGAUAUUUUUAUACACCUAUAAUAAUAUUGUAUGUGACAUUAUUAUUCUAAAUUUAGUUAUAUAAAUAAUAUAAAACAAAAUUAUAUAUUAACUUUAUUCUUAAAUUUGUUGUCUAAUGACUUGUAUUUUAUUUAUAUUUUCCAUAUCAUUUUCAUUUUUUUUUUGCAUACGUUUAACUAAGAUCAGUUUUUUUUUUAAAUGUCAGAUUUUUCUGUUUUAUCUUAUAAUAAACCAAUAAAAAAUUAUUAUUAGAAUAUUGAUACUUAAAAAUAUUAAUUUGUGAGGCAUCAGGUAAAGUAGUUAGUUACAUCAAAAUAGUUCACGCAAGUCUACGCCUAUUCGGAUGGCGCCUGCAGAGAGCGGCCAGUGGGUGUCACUGGGAUUUUUUUAAUGAACAAAAAAAUUAAUGUAUAAUAAUAUAAACAUGUGACUACCUAUGUAUGUAUAACAUAAAUUUAAUUUUGCACCCAAUGAGCUGAUUUUCUGCGAGCGCCCCUGCCCCCAAAUUUGUCUGAUCGCUUCCGGAAAAAAGUGUAAACAAUUGUAAAUAAUUGUAAAUUCAAUCCCCAAAUUUGUAAAUUAUCAGAAAACUUAGAAAUCAAAAAACAAGUCAGGGGGUCAAGAUCACGUAGUCCCCCGAAUUUGACCGAUCGACUUCGAACAAAUUGUAAUCAAUUGUAAAUUAAUUGUAAAUAUUUUUAAAUUAAAUUUGCAAGUUUGUAAAUCAGCAUGAAGCUUAGAAAUCAAAAAACAAAAGCCGGGAGACUACCAAGUUCACGCAGCCCCCGACUUUGGCCGAUCGACUUCGGACAAAUUGUGAAUAUGUAAAUUGAAAUUCGCCCAUCAACCCAUUCCUGUCGACAAUCGCCAAGCAGAGGGGCUACUCACCGUCGGUGGUCGGUAACAUUUUCACGUUGCUGUUGCUGCUGAACAUCGUAGUCAAACCGCUGACCGGAUACGUCACCGA